UACGUAGGGUCCGAGCGUUGUCCGGAGUUACUGGGCGUAAAGCGCGCGCAGGCGGUCUGGCAAGCAUGGCGUGAAAGCCCCCGGCUCAACCGGGGAGGGUCGUCGUGGACUGCCGGACUUGAGGGCGGUAGGGGUUGGUGGAAUGCCCGGUGUAGUGGUGAAAUGCGUAGAGAUCGGGCGGAACACCCGUGGCGAAGGCGGCCAACUGGGCCGACCCUGACGCUGAGGCGCGAAAGCUAGGGGAGCGAACGGG
rnacentral:rRNA from 1 species